AUUGAACGCUGGCGGCAUGCUUUACACAUGCAAGUCGAACGGCAGUGCGGGCUUCGGCCUGGCGGCGAGUGGCGAACGGGUGAGUAAUGCAUCGGAACGUGCCCAGUAGUGGGGGAUAGCCCGGCGAAAGCCGGAUUAAUACCGCAUACGACCUGAGGGUGAAAGCGGGGGACCGAAAGGCCUCGCGCUAUUGGAGCGGCCGAUGUCGGAUUAGCUAGUUGGUGGGGUAAAGGCUUACCAAGGCGACGAUCCGUAGCUGGUCUGAGAGGACGACCAGCCAAACUGGGACUGAGACACGGCCCAGACUCCUACGGGAGGCAGCAGUGGGGAAUUUUGGACAAUGGGGGCAACCCUGAUCCAGCCAUGCCGCGUGCGGGAAGAAGGCCUUCGGGUUGUAAACCGCUUUUGUUCGGGAAGAAAUCCUCUGGGCUAAUACCCCGGGGGGAUGACGGUACCGGAAGAAUAAGCACCGGCUAACUACGUG
rnacentral:rRNA from 1 species